rnacentral:lncRNA from 1 species
GGUGGGUCGAGUGGAGGGGAGAGGAACAGAGAGCCGAGCUGUCCUGUGACAGUGGAAUUUGUACCAGAAGCGACUGUAUGGUCAGGCCCAGCGGAAGACGGGGUGGUGAGGCAAAUCCCAGCCGAGGGAUCUUUAAAAGCCUCUCUCAGCGAGGCCGGUCCUUCUCGGUGAUGGAGGGGCUAUAAAUCACAUGCUCUGCCCGGCGUCUCCAUCAGGCCUUCCUCUCCGCUCCGGAGCUGGGAGUGAAGUCCAGUUGCCACAAGGAAUCGGCACCUGAUGUGGUGGUCCCCCCACCCCCAGGCGCCCUGCCCGGAGGCUCAAGAUGAACGUGAGGCGGUCACACUGGCUCUAAGGACAAAGAUUUGCAGAAACGGUAGAGCUGAUCGUACACGCAGAACUACCACGUUCCUGGCAGACAUCUCCUCCCUUCACGCAUCUUAGAGCAGAAGGCGCAGCUGCAACCUGAGAGAACAUGGUCCUAAAUGCAGAAUCCUCGUGAUGGGGAAGUCAAGGACUGAUUGCUUUAGGUGAGUAAGAUGCUUCAACAUCUUCCAAAGCAGAUGCAUCGUCAGAAAAUCUUCUGGGCCGAGAACACUCUGCAGGAUCCCCCGAUGGAAGACGAGGCUUGUCAGAUGCCAACAGACUGAGAGCAAUAAAGUGUAAAUAAUUUAGAGCUCCUUGAUAUUAUCCUGCCUACUCAUCACGUACAUCUUUAAUAAUUGAUUCAGUCUUUAAAGAAAUUCUCUCUACGUAACUUACAGCAUUCUCUCUGUUUUUGGCCUGUUGACAACAGCAGACCGUUUCUGUGUGGGACCCGUCCUUCCCGGGUGAGGCACGUUUGUUUGCACAGGAGACGUUUUCCUGCUGUUGGUUUCUAUGGCUGUGUUCUGCACAUGCUCAGUGAGCAUUAUGGUUCUGAUCAGAAUUCUCCUUAAGGUCCUCACCAUUGUCAGGAACUGUUUUAGAGUUUUAUAUCUAUUGACAUGAUUCCCACAGCAAUCCUAUUAUCGCCUCUUAUUUCUCUAUUUUACAGAUGAAGAAAAUGGUUAAAUCACUUGAAUAGAAUGCCCCUAUCGCACCUGUCUACUCCCGACACUGACAGAUCACUGCCUGGCGCAGUCACCAUGGGAACAAGGCUGUAGAUAACUCGUACCACGGUGUUAACUGGGUUAAUUUUGUGUAGAAAAAAUCGCCUCGGUUCAAAAGAAGCUGGUUCCUUUAAAUAUCUGAUUACGGAGCCCGGCUAACUCACUCACACAGAGAGCUCUGGGGAGGGGGAAGGGAAGUGACGGGGAUGGAAAACAGCUGAGGAAUAGUGACAUCAGAUGCUCCCAGUACAACAGCCAGAGAGAGGACGCCAGCCAGGCAGAACGUUAGAGGUAACGGAAGGGACCUGGAGCAUAUUUAUAUUUUGUAGAAUGCAGUUUGCUCCAGAAAUGGAAAUUAUUCCAGGAAGGUCAGAGAGAAGACGCUGCUGUAGAUGGAAAGUGCAGCUGAGCAGAAACCCCAGGACCCAAAAAAGAAUCGGAUCAUGACACUGUGACUCUAAGUAACUUAUCGACUGCAGAGCAGGACUUUCAGCGGACUUACGCCCUGGGGCUUUGCCCUGUAAAAACGGCUGAGCAGGUCAAAGCAGAGGUGCCACACAUUAGGAACUGCAUACUGUCUCUUCUUAUUGUGCACUUUUAUUUUCUGUUUAACUUGCACAUGCCAUUUAUUUGUUUUUUUAAAAUUGAGAUAUAAGAUACUACCAAAAAAGGUCAAAUGUGUAAAGUAUACGAAUCUAUGUGUAUAGCUUCACGAAUCUCACAUACAUGUAUAUAAACAUACAUCAAUGUAAUCAACAUCCAGAUCAAGAUACAAAAUACUUCCCCCACCCUAGAAAGCUCCCCAGCGAUGCCCAGCAAGCCCACCAGAAGGAAAGGGCAUCCUUACUUCGAGCACCUGAGUUAGUUCUGCCUGUCCUCGAUAAACGCGAGAAAUGAGUCAGGCAGCAUUCGCUUCUGGCUUUUUACUCAACACAAGGUGUGUAAGAUUCAUCCGCGUUAUUGUGCACAUCAGUCGUUGGUCUUUAAUGUUGUGGUUUACAUUGUGUUGGAUGACUAUACUCCUCAUUUAUUGAUCUCUUCUCCUGUUGACGGACAUUUGUGCUGUGUCCAGCUUGAGGCAGUUAGGAAUAAAGCUUUGGUGAAAAUUGUUAUGUGAUUUUCUGUUGUUGUACCUAUGUGCCCAUUUCUUCUCCAUAGGUCCCUAGGAGGGGCGUGUCUGGGCGAUGGGGCAGGCACGUGCUCAGCUGCUGUUGAUACUUUGGAGGACGCUGCAGCUCAUCCCUCAGCGUCUCCUUCAGAUGGUUCCUCCUCGCUCCUGGGACUGGUGCCAGCUGCCAGCCCUCUUUGGCAAUUGCUUCUCCUUCAGCUCACACCUAUGGCCACACGGGGGAUCCCUUAUGACCAGAGUCGAAGCCAGCUCUACUACCCGAGGUCUACAGAGUGAGCCAGACUUCACACCAAAGCAACUAUGUGAGUGGGCACACAACUACGGGGUCUACUAGUUAUAUCAAAUGCCGUACGACCCAGAAGCAGAAAGCCUGAUAGAGUGAUGGGACAACCUGUUGAAGGAACAGCUAAAUUGCCAGUUUGGAGGUGGUCCCUUGCAAGGAUAGAUGCCAUCUUCCGGGACCCAACAUGCAUUCUAUAUCAGUGACAUUUAUAUGGUGUUGCGUCCCCAGUAGAUUGAGUACGUUGGUCCAGGAACCAAGGGGUGGGAGGAGGAAGGCCUCACAUUCUAUGACUCCCAGUGAUGCCCUGAGAGACUUCAUGCUCUGUCCCUGCCACCCUGGGCUCUGUGGAUUUAGAGGUUCUGCUUCCCAGAAGGGCACCCUUCCACCAGGGGAUGCAGCAGGAGCACCAUUGAACCAUGGCUGCUGCCUGAGCUUUUUACGCUCCUUCUGCCAAGAGACCAACUGGCAAGAAAAGAAACCACCAUUCUGGCAGAAAUAGUUGAUCCAGGUCAUCAGGAGGAGGGCAGGGAGGAACAUAAUUGACAUCCAGGUGACCCAUUUGGGUGCCUCUUGAUACUCCUGUGCCCAAUUGUGGUGUUAAAAGGACAGCUGCAGCAACCCUGGCCUGAGAAGGGCAUGGUAAGCAGGGACUCAGCCUGCUCAGGAGUGAGGAUCUGGGUCACACCAGCAGAGAAGCCACUGAGACCAGCAGAGUUGCUAACUGAUGGUGAAGGAAAUCCAGAUCGGGUCAUAGGAGAUGGGGAAGUUCAGCUGCCUAUUACAUCACAGAAGGUCAUCAAAGCAGUGGGAGAGGCGGCCGAUGCCUUCCUCUCGCAGUCACAGCCGUGGAGCGAGGGGAAGACGAGCCGAGGAGUUUUCUGGAGCAGGUGGUAAAUGUGCAAGGAACAGACUACUCCUGGGUUAGCUGGGGGCUGCGUGUGUAGAAGAUGAAAUGGGAAAAUGUGGUGCUCAGGGGCAUGCAUUCUCAAGCCCAAAUGCCCGGAUUCCGAUGCUGAUUCACAGCUUCCCAGCUGGGUGACUUUGGAGUCGUGCCAGGACAUACGCCCCAGGCUGGGGAAUCGUCAUGUCCCUCGUCCAGCAGACCCCAGCAAGCCGACCCCCACGGAAGCCCGUGGACAGGAGUGCGUCCCUCUUCCAGAGUGAACACCUGGCUUUCACAAUCCCAUCACGCCAACAACAAAUGCCUGGAGGUUUUCACCUAGUAUUUGCUUUGUGCUACUAUUUGGCCUUUGCCUGUUUUCUCCACUUUCUCUCCUCCUGUCCCCUCGUGAACCCCCUGCACGUCCAAUAUUCCCCUGCGGCCGCUCUUGUCAAGGUCACUGAUGAUGAUACCAAUCCUGAUAUCAGUUUCCCCGCAUUAAACCCAGCAUAUAUGGGGUUAAAACCAAAACACUCAUUGCUUGCUUACUCUCUGGCUUCCUGGCUCCAGAAUCCACUAUGCUCCAUGGAGACAGACACCGUCAAGGACAAGCACCUGGACUAUCUCCUCCCCACAAAGAGACACAGACUAGUGGGAAAGCUUCUGACCAGCAAGGUCAUGAGCUCCCUCCUCUCUGCAAGUGUCUCCAGGCCAAAGACAGGCUGGUGGGAAAGCUCUGACCAGCAAGGCCAUAUGCUCCCCCUCCCCUACCUAAAACCCCAAAUAAAAACCCUUCCUUUUAGCUUUUUCGGGGAGUUUGGGAUUUGAGCGUUAGCUGUCCUCUCUCCUUGCUCAGCGCUGUACAAAAAUAAAGUUCCUACUUUCUUCCACCACACCCGGUGUCAGAGAUUGGCUUGCUGUGCAACGGGACCGGCCGGAAAUAAUGGGUACCUUGGCAACCCUCUGGGCUCCAUUUGUUUUGAAGUCGCCGCGACGCCCCGGCCAAAUUUUGAAAAACUUCUUAUUAAAUACCUUGUUACUUACUUACAUGAUACAGGCCCACCUUCAGGAACCCACCAGCAUCACUGCCUUAUUAAAAGACUAGUUCAAUGAGAUGAAAUGACCUACACCCCAUUUCAGCAGGAAGUAGCUAGAUCGGUCGCUGCCCCAAAUCCCUCAAGAUUGAGGGAUGGACAUAAAAUAGGGGGGAAGUUGAUACCGAUCCUGAUAUCAGUUUCCCCGCAUUAAACCCAGCAUAUAUGGGGUUAAAACCAAAACACUCAUUGCCUGCUUACUCUCUGGCUUCCUGGCUCCAGAAUCCACUAUGCUCCAUGGAGACAGACACCGUCAAGGACAAGCACCUGGACUAUCUCCUCCCCACAAAGAGACACAGACCAGCAAGGUCAUGAGCUCCCUCCUCUCUGCAAGUGUCUCCAGGCCAAAGACAGGCUGGUGGGAAAGCUCUGACCAGCAAGGCCAUAUGCUCCCCCUCCCCUACCUAAAACCCCAAAUAAAAACCCUUCCUUUUAGCUUUUUCGGGGAGUUUGGGAUUUGAGCGUUAGCUGUCCUCUCUCCUUGCUCAGCGCUGUGCAAA